UACGUAUGUCCCGAGCGUUAUCCGGAUUUAUUGGGCGUAAAGCGAGUGCAGACGGUUGAUUAAGUCUGAUGUGAAAGCCCGGAGCUCAACUCCGGAAUGGCAUUGGAAACUGGUUAACUUGAGUGUUGUAGAGGUAACUGGAAUUCCAUGUGUAGCGGUGGAAUGCGUAGAUAUAUGGAAGAACACCAGUGGCGAAGGCGGCUUACUGGACAGCAACUGACGUUGAGACUCGAAAGUGUGGGUAGCAAACAGG
rnacentral:rRNA from 1 species